AGGUCGGCUCGCCUACUGGCGUGGGCAACUGCCUGUAAAGCAGCCGCUUAAUGCGUUGCAGGUUCAAUUCCUGCCCGGCCUACCA
rnacentral:tRNA from 2 species